rnacentral:rRNA from 1 species
UACGUAGGUGGCAAGCGUUGUCCGGAAUUACUGGGCUUAAAGCGUGCGUAGGCGGCCUAGCAAGUCGGGUGUGAAAGCCCUCGGCUCAACCGAGGAAUUGCGCCCGAAACUGCUGGGCUUGAGUGAGACAGAGGUGAGCGGAACUGAUGGUGGAGCGGUGAAAUGCGUUGAUAUCAUCAGGAACACCGGUGGCGAAGGCGGCUCACUGGGUCUCAACUGACGCUGAGGUACGAAAGCCAGGGUAGCGAACGGG